rnacentral:lncRNA from 1 species
AUGCACCUCAUGACAUUAUUUAAUGACGCUACAAAUAUGGAGAGAGCUGAGGAACCUGUAACAGUUAAUACAUCUGAAAUUCGCCAGCCAGCUGUUCCUUGCCACCCAUCUUUGGAGAACUCGACGAUGGAGAACCUCAACAGACAGAAGGAAACCGUAUUCAGCCUGGUGCAGGUGAAGGGGACGUGGAAACGCAAAGCAGGGCAAAAUGUGAAGCAAGGAAUAAAAGGACGAGUGUCAGCGGCUAAAAUUUACGAAAGCAGCUCCUCUAGUGGCACCACCUGGACAGUGGUCACCCCCAUCACCUUCACAUAUACAGUUACUCAGACCAAAAAUCUUCUUGACCCCAGCAAUGACACUCUGCUUUUGGGCCACAUCAGAGACACUCAGCAGCUUGAGGCCUUACGGUCCAGCACCAAGCCCUUAAAACGCUUCAUAGUCAUGGAUGAGGUAGUAUACAAUCUCUAUGGUUCUCAGGUCACCGACUACCUCGAGGCCAGACACGUCCUGUACCGGAUCCUGCCCCUGCCCAUGACGGAGGAGAACAAGUCCAUGGAAAUGGGCCUGAAGAUUCUGGAAGAAGUCCACCAGUUUGGAAUCGACCGGCGUACGGAGCCCAUCAUCGCCAUCGGAGGUGGAGUCUGCCUGGAUAUCGUGGGUCUCGCAGCGUCCCUCUACAGAAGGCGCACUCCAUACAUUCGUGUUCCCACUACCCUUUUGUCGUACAUCGAUGCUAGCGUCGGAGCAAAGACGGGCGUGAAUUUCGCAAAUUGCAAGAACAAGCUAGGCACCUACAUCGCACCUGUUGCUGCCUUCUUGGACAGGUCGUUUAUACAGACAAUUCCUCGCAGACACAUAUCUAAUGGUCUUGCAGAAAUGUUGAAGAUGGCUCUCAUGAAGCACAGAGGGCUGUUUGAACUUCUGGAAAUGCAGGGGCAGUUUCUUUUAGACUCGAAGUUCCAGUCCGGUAUGGUUCUAGAAGACGACCUCAUUGACCCUGCUUCUGUUUCUACCCGUGUCGCUAUAGAAACCAUGUUAGAAGAAUUGGCCCCAAACCUGUGGGAGGAUGAUCUUGACAGACUGGUCGACUUCGGUCACCUGAUCAGCCCAGAAUUAGAGAUGAAAGUCCUACCAGCUUUACUCCACGGUGAAGCAGUGAAUAUUGAUAUGGCCUACAUGGUGUAUGUGGCAUGUGAGAUGGGGUUGCUCACAGAGCAGGAGAAGUUCAGGAUCGUCUGUUGCAUGCUGGGGCUGGAGCUGCCAGUGUGGCAUCAAGACUGCACCUUUGCUUUGGUUCAGAAAUCUCUGCGUGACAGACUACAACACUCUGGAGGGCUUGUGAGGAUGCCUUUACCAACAGGCCUUGGAAGAGCUGAAAUCUUCAACGACACUGAUGAAGGCACUCUGUUCCAGGCUUAUGAGAAGUGGUGCGAUGAACUCAGAACUGGUUCACUUCAAUGAGACCUCAGCCAAUGUUUACAUACAAGGGAUCCUCUUAGCUUUAACAAUUUAUACGCAUGUAUUAUUCUAUGACAGCUUCUGUUUCCUUUUUAUUUUGUAUACAUUAUGGGCAUUUAAAUGUUUUACAUUUAAAACAAUUGCUUCUCAUUACUAUAAUUGCCAUUUUUGUAAAUGGCCGUGAAUGGAAGAAGGCUGACUUGAUAUGUGAAGAUCUUUCUUUAGUUGUGUUUAAGGGUUUCUUUCCCACCAUUUCAUAUUGGACAAAGGAACAUUUCGGUUAAUAAUGAAAUCAUUUAUUAAAAAUAAAAAUAAAAAGUCUGUCUGAUGUGUUUGAUGUAAUGCAUGCAAGUUUAUAAUAAACAAUUAUCUUAUUAGCAAGUCUCCAUUAUGAUGAGAAAGAUGUAGCCUAUUAUGUUUCAGAGCAACAAUAGCUUCAGUUUUGUGAACACCAUCACAAAUACCACAGAUAUGUGCAGAAAACAUGGCACCAUUUGUCUGGUAUUCAAUUAAUGUUCUCUUGUUUUUAUGUAUUCAUAAGUCUUAAAAACAAACACAAGAAUACUGGAUAUUGGUACAAGAAUACUAC